rnacentral:misc_RNA from 1 species
GAUGAAGAACGUAGCGAAAUGCGAUAAGUAGUGUGAAUUGCAGAAUUCCGUGAAUCAUCGAAUCUUUGAACGCACAUUGCGCCUUCUGGUAUUCCGGAAGGCAUGCCUGUUCGAGAGUCAUUAACAACCGUUUCGAUCCCUUUCUUCCAGAAAUUACAAAGAGGAAAAGGGUUUGGUUAUGGUGGAGGAGGGAAAGGGAGCGUUUAGCCUGUAAAAAAAGAGGCUGUGUUCCGCCUCCCCCCCAAAAUUGUACAGGCGGUCGUGUGCGCCCACGCAUCGAGGUGUUGUAAAAGCUGCCACGGCACUUUUCACCUGUGCAGUGCGAGAUUGGCCAGCCGGUUUAAAAACCCCUCCAAACAAUCAAAGGUUGACCUCGGAUCAGGUAGGGAUACACGCUGAACUUAAGCAUAUCAAUAAGCGGAGGA